GGGUAAAUAAUACAGGACAGGCGGAGACGUGGAUUGGUGACAGGGGGACAGUGCGGCUCCUCAGGGGUUAAUCAGUGAACCGCUGUCACGUCUAACGGUUAUUUGUGAGGGAUGGAGGGAGGAACAUCACAGGGAGGCUGAGACCUCCGCAUUACCGAGCCGCCGGACUCUGCAGGAUCUUCGUGAUAAUGUGGCCUCUACACCGACCUGAUCUGAGCUCUACUGAGGCCACUUACUGUACUGAGGCCACUUACUGUACUGGAGGUCACUUACUGUACUGGAGGUCACAUAUUCAAAGCUUGAAGUCUUCCAUCAACUAACUGCAGAUCGCCUGCAUGAUGUACUGAAAUCCCUUACCUACUGGAGGCUGCUACUUACCGUAUUGGAGGAUCUCUACUUACCGUAUUGGAGGAUCUCUACUUACCGUAUUGGAGGAUCUCUUCCGAUCAUAUUGGAAACUCCCUAAUGAUCAUAUUGGAGGCUCUCUGCUUUCUGUGUUGGAUGCUCUCUCCUGAUCAUAUUGGAGGCUCUCUACUGAUCAUAUUGGAGUCUCUCUAUUGAUCAUAUUGGAGGCUCUCUACUGAUCAUAUUGGAGUCUCUCUAUUGAUCAUAUUGGAGGCUCUCUACUGAUCAUAUUGGAGUCUCUCUAUUGAUCAUAUUGGAGGCUCUCUAUUGAUCAUAUUGGAGGCUCUCUAUUGAUCAUAUUGGAGGCUCUCUACUGAUCAUAUUGGAGGCUCUCUAUUGAUCAUAUUGGAGUCUCUCUAUUGAUCAUAUUGGAGGCUCUCUACUGAUCAUAUUGGAGGCUCUCUACUGAUCAUAUUGGAGGCUCUCUACUGAUCAUAUUGGAGUCUCUCUAUUGAUCAUAUUGGAGGCUCUAUUGAUCAUAUUGGAGGCUCUCUAUUGAUCAUAUUGGAGGCUCUAUUGAUCAUAUUGGAGUCUCUCUAUUGAUCAUAUUGGAGGCUCUCUAUUGAUCAUAUUGGAGGCUCUAUUGAUCAUAUUGGAGUCUCUCUAUUGAUCAUAUUGGAGGCUCUCUAUUGAUCAUAUUGGAGGCUCUAUUGAUCAUAUUGGAGUCUCUCUAUUGAUCAUAUUGGAGGCUCUCUAUUGAUCAUAUUGGAGGCUCUCUACUGAUCAUAUUGGAGUCUCUCUACUGAUCAUAUUGGAGGCUCUCUACUGAUCAUAUUGGAGGCUCUCUACCGAUCAUAUUGCCGGCUGUCCCACUUACUGUGCUGCAAGAUCUACUUACUGCUUUGGAUGUUCUACAGAAGUUCGCCUACCGGACCGGUCACCUAUUUACUUUCCUUACUGGAGGUCACCAACCCGGGGGCCCCACUGGAGGUUUUCCACUUCUUGCCCUGGAGGCUGCCUUUAUAUGGAUGAUACAAUCUGACCUCCACAAGCCCUUCCAUGGAUCCUUCACGUGGAAUGUGUAGAUUGAUCUGCUGCUGGAGGUAGUGUUGGUCUUUAGAAGGAGAGUCUACACUUCCUGGAGGUUGCAUCAUCAUCAUCAUCACUGGAGGCUGAAGAAUUCGGCGAUCUGGAGGCUGAAUGUGUGGGCGGAAAAAAAGAAAAUUGUUUCGCUGACUGAUGUCUGGAAGCCACAAAACGUUUCUACAUUGUGGACCAAUCAUGGUGGACAACCCCUUCAAAUCGCACAGUGAUGCGCUUGGGGUGCCCGGCCGUUGCCAGCCUCCUGCUCGGAAAAGGUGCUGACCCCAAUCUGCAGGACAGCUGUGGCUUCUCAGU